UAUUCCAUCCCUAUUCCCGAUCCAUCCGCGCCCGCCCUCCGGCAUGUGACGGUGUCGGCGGCGCUGCGGGCCGGGAUGGCCCCGGCGGGGCGGGGAAGGGGAGCGGCCGCCAUUCCCGGUGAAGGGACCCCGCCGGGUCUGUGUGAAAAGUCCCUCCCUGAGGAUACGGAUGCCGAGGGAACAGAAGGAACAUGGGGGAGGAAUUGUGGGACCACCCCAUGGGUCACAGCACAGUGUCAGGUCGGCUUCCUGCUCCAUUGUGUAACACACCCCAUAAAUGGCUGUACUGGAGAACCCCAGAAGCUGCCAUUGCACAGGGAUAGGGUGGGAGUGAGGGGCAGGAGGUGACGGGACACUGUCACUGGCUUGGCUGGGAACUCCACUCAACAGCCAAAAAUAAACGUGGAGCAAGAGAGAUGAACUUCUGAGGGAUCCACCCUGGAGAGAAGCAGCUGAUAGAACAGGGAUUGAGGAUGGAGUGACAGAGUUUGUGAUCUGAACCAAGGGGAUCCAACUUCCUGCUGGUUCCUUCUGCUUUAUUCACCAUAACGAGUUAUCAAAUCUUACCUUUAUUUUAAUUUUCUUUAGGAAGGGAGGGACUGUCAAGACAGAAUAGCCUAAUUUUAUUUAACUCUUCAUCACAAACCACCUGGAUUAGGUUUACAGUACUGGAAAACAGGAGUUUGUGUAUAUUCUUUAUGAAUUAGGAGACGGGCUCGUAAGGAAUACUUGGGUUUCUCUUCUUUAGAGACCACCCCUCAUAGAACAAAGUAUUCUGGACCAAAAAGAACAAUAAUAAUUAGAAAAAACUGAGAAAAAAUAAGAAAAAAAGGACAUUAAAAAUAAGGAGGAAAGAGUAUAGUAUGGAGAAAUGAGAGCUAAGAAAGAAAAUAAUACACAGCAGUCUGGAGAAAUGGAACAGGUGGAAAAGAAACAACAAAACAGUCUAAUUAAAGCAGUACAGUGACACCAAUAAUAACUUUUGUGGCCUUCUGAGCACACAGUUUAUCAGUCAAACCGUCUCUACCAUUUUGGGGGUGAAGGCAUUUUCCUAAUUAAAAGGCUGAGAACUUCCCGAGUCCAUGGAAGCUGCUCAGGAUCUUACCAGCCUGGGUCCUUCUCUUCCUGCUUCAAACUACAGGUGGUUGUUUUGGUGGUUCAGCCACACAUUUACCACCAGGCUGAGAGGGUUGGGCUGUUCAGCCUUCUCAGAAGAGAAAAAGUUGUGUGGAGACCUCACAGCGACUUCCAGGAUCUGAAGAGGCUCCAAGGAAGCCAGAGAGGGACUGUUCUUCAGGAACUGCAGGGACAGGACAAGGGGGAGUGGGUUCGGACUGAACGAUGGGAAAUUUAGGUAUGUGGAAAAAGGUGUUCCCUGUGAGGGUGGGGAGGCCCUGGCCCAGGUUGCCCAGAGAAGCUGUGGCUGCCCCUGGAUCCCUGGAAGUGUCCAAGGCCAGGUUGGAGCAACCUGGGCUAGUGGAAGGUGUCCCUGCCCAUGGCAUGGGGUGGAACAAGAUGAGCUUUAAGGUCCCUUCCAACCUGCACCAUUCCAUGAUUCUGUGACAGUGGAAUGUGGUUAUGGAUCAUAUAUCCCAGUUUUUCCCUUCUCAGCCUUCCCACACUGACUAGAGGAGUCCAUUUUCCUCUUCACUGUAUGUUCUGGAAAGCAUCAUUCCACGAUCCAAACUCUAAAAGCCCUCGUAGCUGUGCAGUUUUUCUUUGGAAUGUGUGCAUUUCUGCCUGAACUCCAGCCUUCCUUCACACAGUCCUGGACACUGACUUUUGCAGGGCUGACUAUUUGUCCUUCGAUCAGAUAUUUCAGUCCCGAGCACGUGUUGUACCCACAGCAAUUCAAACAAUCCUCAGUAUCGGGCAAGAGUGGACCCAGCUUAGAGGAUCUUCAGGAAGGAUUUCCUCUUAAUGCAGAAAAGAGGUGAUGAUGCCACCUGUGCUGUUGUGUUUCUCAGGCAAAGCCACCACAGAGCUCAGUUCCUUUGGCACUGGGCCACAAUCUGAAGUUAAGUCCCCAGAGAAGUUCUUCUCCGUGGGUUACGUCACGAACGCGCCACAGCAGCUCUCAGACAGCCUUCGUUCCAAAUCCCACCAUCAUCUGGAGGGAGCAGCUUGUGUUUCUCCUGUCAAAAAGGUGCUGCUGAGUAACUAAUGUGGUCCAUCUCUUUUUAGGCCAGAGGGGUUGCCAAGGUAACCCGUUCCAAUGGAGAUAGAUCGGCUUUUGAGUCAUCCUCAGAGCCAGCUUCCAUAGUAGAAGGUUUGGAUUGACAGCCAGUGCUGCCUGCUGUGUAGGCUGGCACGCCCCUGGACCAGAAGGUCCUGGAAUUGCUGCUGUUGCUUGCUCCAAAAAAAACAAAAAAAUAAAAAUGUGUGUAUCCCUGA